rnacentral:tRNA from 1 species
GGGAAUGUAGCUUAGUGGUAGAGUGCUUGCCUAGUAUGCAUGAAGCCCUGGGUUCGAUUCUCCAGUACCA